rnacentral:rRNA from 1 species
AUUGCCUACGGGGCGUAGCAGUGGGGAAUAUUGGGCAAUGGGCGCAAGCCUGACCCAGCAACGCCGCGUGAAGGAAGAAGGCUUUCGGGUUGUAAACUUCUUUUCUCAGGGACGAAGCAAGUGACGGUACCUGAGGAAUAAGCCACGGCUAACUACGUGCCAGCAGCCGCGGUAAUACGUAGGUGGCAAGCGUUAUCCGGAUUUACUGGGUGUAAAGGGCGUGUAGGCGGGAAAGCAAGUCAGAUGGGAAAACCAUGGGCGCAACCUGUGGCCCGCAUUUGAAACUGGUUUUGUUGAGAACUGGG